GUACACUCCUGCGGGAGGCAGCAGUGGGGAAUAUUGGACAAUGGGCGCAAGCCUGAUCCAGCCAUGCCGCGUGAGUGAUGAAGGCCCUAGGGUUGUAAAGCUCUUUCACCGGAGAAGAUAAUGACGGUAUCCGGAGAAGAAGCCCCGGCUAACUUCGUGCCAGCAGCCGCGGUAAUACGAAGGGGGCUAGCGUUGUUCGGAAUUACUGGGCGUAAAGCGCACGUAGGCGGAUCGAUCAGUCAGGGGUGAAAUCCCAGGGCUCAACCCUGGAACUGCCUUUGAUACUGUCGAUCUGGAGUAUGGAAGAGGUGAGUGGAAUUCCGAGUGGAGAGGUGAAAUUCGUAGAUAUUCGGAGGAACACCAGUGGCGAAGGCGGCUCACUGGUCCAUUACUGACGCUGAGGUGCGAAAGCGUGGGGAGCAAACAGGAUUAGAAACCCCUGUAGUCCC
rnacentral:rRNA from 1 species